UGGGUGUCCUCACGCCCCUCGGGCUUCAAAGUAAACAAAAGAGCAAAUUUAUUUUAAGGAGACGUGCAUUUGCAUAUAACCAAUGUUUCAAUUCAACUACCUUGACAUAUUACGAAGAGUGUGGUAAUGGGACUGAAAUGGUGAAGACAUGCGGUUACACAGCUGUAAAAUACAAAUGACGUUAUCUUGUUAAUUUUGGAGUUCUAGGAGUGUGUUCUUCACUUUGGAGGAGAUCAUCAAACUUGAUGAUCUCAGCCAAUCCAAUGCUUUCCCGUAGGAAAGCAUUGGGGGGCUAGUGUGCAUGUGUGGCAAAAAGCUGCGCGACCAAACAGCAUCUCCAUGGGGAGCAUUCUGCGCCUCCAUGCAGAACCAUUCUAAUACAAUGCUCCCUCCCCCCAUUCUAAUACAGUGCCCACAAAUCCAAUACAUUGCCCCCCCUCGCUCCACUGCUAUAUACUGCCC